UCUACGGGGGGCAGCAGUGGGGAAUAUUGGACAAUGGGGGCAACCCUGAUCCAGCCAUGCCGCGUGUGUGAAGAAGGCCCUCGGGUUGUAAAGCACUUUCAGUGAGGAAGAACGCCUGGUGGUUAAUACCCAUCAGGAAAGACAUCACUCACAGAAGAAGCACCGGCUAACUCCGUGCCAGCAGCCGCGGUAAUACGGAGGGUGCGAGCGUUAAUCGGAAUUACUGGGCGUAAAGCGCGCGUAGGUGGCUUGAUAAGCCGGUUGUGAAAGCCCCGGGCUCAACCUGGGAACGGCAUCCGGAACUGUCAAGCUAGAGGGCAGGAGAGGAAGGUAGAAUUCCCGGUGUAGCGGUGAAAUGCGUAGAGAUCGGGAGGAAUACCAGUGGCGAAGGCGGCCUUCUGGACUGACACUGACACUGAGGUGCGAAAGCGUGGGUAGCAAACAGGAUUAGAUACCCUGGUAGUC
rnacentral:rRNA from 1 species